ensembl:piRNA 21ur-11990 ncRNA
UUGGAGUCUAUUUCCGUAAAU